rnacentral:rRNA from 1 species
AGGACGAACGCUGGCGGCGUGCUUAACACAUGCAAGUCACGGGGGCUCGCAAGAGCAACCGGCGAACGGGUGCGUAACACGUGAGCAACCUACCGAUUUCUGGGGGAUAGCCGGCCCAACGGCCGGGUAAUACCGCAUACGUUCUUGGGGGACAUCCUCUGAAGAAGAAACCUCCGGGGGAGAUCGAGGGGCUCGCGGCCUAUCAGCUAGUUGGCGAGGUAACGGCUCACCAAGGCAACGACGGGUAGCUGGUCUGAGAGGAUGGCCAGCCACAUUGGGACUGAGAGACGGCCCAGACUCCUACGGGAGGCAGCAGUGGGAAUCUUGCGCAAUGGCCGAAAGGCUGACGCAGCGACGCCGCGUGUGGGAUGAAGCAUUUCGGUGUGUAAACCACUGUUGCCCGGGACGAACAGCUUCUUUCGAGGAGCCUGACGGUACCGGGUGAGGAAGCACCGGCUAACUCCGCGCCAGCAGCCGCGGUAA